CCUAGGGGUCGGACAGAUCGGUCAAUACAUUAUCAACGCAUCAAAAUAAUUGGUCAGUAUAUCGACAUUUCGUCAAUAUAUUAACGAAAUCCCACCAUGCCUAUAGGAACCUUGGUGAGUUGAAAUGUCAUAUUCAAAUCAAAACAAAACAAAUUUCACCGGUUUCGGUUACAGUCACGACGUCGUUCCAGAAAACCAAACGGAACCCAUGAAAAAGUGGCCUGGGCGCCGUUUCGGCGCUGUUCUACAUGGAAAGUGACGACCUGCUUUCACCCCCAAAUCGGUUCCAAAUCAUAGGACAUAGUCUCGUUACGGUGAACCAGAUCAACCAACUGCCGGAUGCGGAUGCGGAGUCGAGCUGAUGGACGUGUUUGAGCGGGUUCGAGUGAGCGGAGGCCAGUGGAAGUUGGACGUGCAGAUUUCGGUCCGGUCCGAUCGAAUGCUGUUGAAGAAGCGGGACAGGAGCGAGGAAGGGUUGAACUGGAGCAAUUGAGGAGACUCUUUUCCGGUUCUAAACAACCUCGGCGAGCUUCGCUCGUUCAAGCGCAUCCGGUACGAUCGCCAGUACCAGAUUCAAUCCCAACGUAGCCACGGGCGGCGGCGGUCGAAAGAUUCCGGGAACCAACAACACGAUUUACAUUGUUUCGGCACUUGUGCGGAAGUUUUAAGCGGAACGCGGAGGUGCUAAAUCCAUUUCGUCCCAGUUGCUGCACUUUUUCAACCAGACCUACAAACGGUUCGCGGGAUACAUGCCGACGAAGAUUUCAAACUCAUUGUUUUAAAUUUUUUGUAUAAUUCUUUAAUUUGCUGUUUUUUUGUUGUAAAUAUAGUUGUGUCUCCGCUUUUUAUUGAUAAACCACCGAAAAA